rnacentral:rRNA from 1 species
GACGAACGCUGGCGGCGUGCUUAACACAUGCAAGUCGAACGGAAAGGCCCUGCUUUUGUGGGGUGCUCGAGUGGCGAACGGGUGAGUAACACGUGAGUAACCUGCCCUUGACUUUGGGAUAACUUCAGGAAACUGGGGCUAAUACCGGAUAGGAGCUCCUGCUGCAUGGUGGGGGUUGGAAAGUUUCGGCGGUUGGGGAUGGACUCGCGGCUUAUCAGCUUGUUGGUGGGGUAGUGGCUUACCAAGGCUUUGACGGGUAGCCGGCCUGAGAGGGUGACCGGCCACAUUGGGACUGAGAUACGGCCCAGACUCCUACGGGAGGCAGCAGUGGGGAAUAUUGCACAAUGGGCGGAAGCCUGAUGCAGCAACGCCGCAUGCGGGAUGACGGCCUUCGGGUUGUAAACCGCUUUCGCCUGUGACGAGGCGUGAGUGACGGUAAUGGGUAAAGAAGCACCGGCUAACUACGUG